rnacentral:rRNA from 1 species
CGAAUGCUGACAUAAGUAACGAUAAAGCGGGUGAAAAGCCCGCUCGCCGGAAGACCAAGGGUUCCUGUCCAACGUUAAUCGGGGCAGGGUGAGUCGACCCCUAAGGCGAGGCCGAAAGGCGUAGUCGAUGGGAAACAGGUUAAUAUUCCUGUACUUGGUGUUACUGCGAAGGGGGGACGGAGAAGGCUAUGUUGGCCGGGCGACGGUUGUCCCGGUUUAAGCGUGUAGGCUGGUUUUCCAGGCAAAUCCGGAAAAUCAAGGCUGAGGCGUGAUGACGAGGCACUACGGUGCUGAAGCAACAAAUGCCCUGCUUCCAGGAAAAGCCUCUAAGCAUCAGGUAACAUCAAAUCGUACCCCAAACCGACACAGGUGGUCAGGUAGAGAAUACCAAGGCGCUUGAGAGAACUCGGGUGAAGGAACUAGGCAAAAUGGUGCCGUAACUUCGGGAGAAGGCACGCUGAUAUGUAGGUGAAGCGACUUGCUCGUGGAGCUGAAAUCAGUCGAAGAUACCAGCUGGCUGCAACUGUUUAUUAAAAACACAGCACUGUGCAAACACGAAAGUGGACGUAUACGGUGUGACGCCUGCCCGGUGCCGGAAGGUUAAUUGAUGGGGUCAGCGCAAG